rnacentral:lncRNA from 1 species
CAAAUAGUAAUUGUUAGCAAUUAAGUUAAUUUUAUCAAUGUACUUAGUCAAGCAGGUGAAUCUGUUCAUUUUUAGGUAUUUUAUUAUCAAAAGAUAAACAAUUCAACGAUCAAAUAAUUGGUCAUGUCAGUGAGCAAAGCAGCUUUCAGUAGGUAUUAUGCUUGUGGGUAGAUACCACAUACAAUGCAAAAAUAAAGCAAUUGUCUUAGGUUUCAUUCCACAGAUGGUUUUCAGUAUGAAUUUGUUCCCUUUCUUUAUGGGAUUCUAAUUCAUGGGUGGUAUUGUGGUUUAAUUUCAUAUUCAUAUUUAAAUUAUUUGUGUUUUUGUAAAAUGAAUGGAAAGAAAACAAUAAAGGCUAUUUGGUUGACUUAUACAGUACAGGAAGGUGAAUCAUUUAUGAUAAAACAGGAAAAGUGGGUUGAGACUAGAUUGUGAAAGGCUUUAACUGUCAAAGAGAAGAUUUUAUAUUUGCUCUUAGAAGUAAUAGGUUGUCACCAAAGUAUAUUCUACAAAGGUGAAAUCAAUAGCUUUGGCAAUGAAUUCAAUAUGGGGAAAGUGACAGAUAGUGAGGAGUCCAUGAUGGCAUCUAGAUGAUGAGCCUGGAGAUCUGCAAGGAAGGUGGUCAACAGUAAUAGAGAAGUUUGGAAGGUUUUUUUGGGGGGAGGAAGAUAACAGUACAAAUGAGUAAUUCUCAUGUAUCCAUCAUGUAUCUAUAUCCUUUACUGCUUUCAUUCUUCCUUAUUUGGCUGCUUGGUUUAAUGUGUUCAUUGCUCAUGUACCUCCAACAACAGACUGGGCAAAAGGAAAUGCUGAUCAUCAGGUCUGCCCAUAAGGCUGGGAUGAAGAUGCCGGCUAAAGUGAAUGGCUACAUCUUAGAAAUCACUUUGGUUUUUCUUAUAUACCAAAGUCAUGUCAAUAACUAGUGUAAGGAAACGUCUCAUUUGGCUGGGCAGUGGGUCCCUAUGAUUUUACCCUCUCAGGAACACAUAUUAUCUUAGUACAUAUGAAGGAAUUUGGGUCACCUUGUGUAUUUUACUAGCACUUAGUAAAAUGAACUUUUCACUUCUAAAAUAAUCACAGUAGUGUUAUGCCAAUUUUAUGAAUCAUUUCAUUGAUGCCAUCAGAAAAGCCAUUAUCAUAAUUGUUAUGAAGCAUAUACUGGCUAAAGGAUAGAAAUUGCAGAACUUUUCUGGAAGAUAUUCCCUCCUCACCUCUACAUCUCAGAAAGUUUCCUUCUAAGUUUAGUUCAAAUGCUUAUCUCCCACGUGACCUGUGGAUGCUGUGCUCUUCUUGGAUACUGGUGUUUUUCCUCCCUCCAUCCCAUUUCAUUGUACAAAAUUUUGCGUGUUCUUAGAAUUGCAAUGCUGUCUUCCUCAAUAGAAUGUAAGCUUCUUAAAAACAGGGACUGUGUCAUUUUUGUCUUUGUAUAUCCAGUACCUAGCAUAGUAGUUGGAAUAUGGUAAGUACUUUAUAAAUGAAAUUA